GUGUCCACCAUCGGGAGAAAUGAACGGUCAUCAACACAAUCCUCUGAGCGCUCAUCAUGUGAUCUUUCUAAAUGUCCACGGAAACAGUUGACUGAAGUUUGACAGCUCUUCUGCCAGUUUUAAUUUGGAAAAACGUACCCAGAGGAAGCAGUGCUGGAUACUUGCCUGGAUUACUGAGUCUUUUUCUGUGGCAAUAGAAUAGAUCUAUUGCACAUGACCACAUUUGAAGCCAGUCCUGAUUCGUGAGUCAGAAGAGGAGAGGCUGGGCUGAUGAGCUGUGUUCAGCACAAACUGACAUUUAAAAGCCGAGCACUUGGAGUGGCCCUCUAUAUUACAGGAUGUAGCCUUCUCAUGAAAUGAGAAGCAAAGUGGGGAGGCCGCUGUGGAUCGUGGAGCACCUUACUCAGUUGAGAAAUAGAUUGUAGUCACUCUCCAUUUAGAUCUUC
ensembl:lncRNA